AAUGGCGUUUGAAGAUCUCGAACUUUCGGAGUUGUCUCAGUUAACUCCUGAACAGGCGAAAGAUUCCCUUCAAAAUAGAUUUGCGAUACAGAAUUAUCAGUUUUUUUUACAGUACAUGACAAACAGUUGUUUUGAAACUUGCGUUCAGAGACCCAGCCCCCUGCUUAUGAACAACGAAAAAGUUUGUCUUCAAAAAUGCUCGACGAUGUUUACUGAUACCUUCCAGCACGCUCUAAAAGCUUUAUUAGGAAGACUAAAAUCGGAAAAACUUCAUAGAGCUUAAGUUAUAUAAUAAAGCCGUU